AUUUCUUAUAUUGAGAACAAAUUUUUGAUUAUCUUUUGGUAAAAAUCUUUCUUAUAUUUCUCUCUCUACAUACCUCUCUCCUCUUUUCUACNCACAUCUUUCUUAUAUUUCUCUCUCUACAUACCUCUCUCCUCUUUUCUACAUAUCUCUCGAGUAAUCUGAACCACCGUCACCAUCAACGGACCUCCAUCCGAACGACCAUAAUGCCGCCGAAAUCACGGUAAUGAUGCCGGAACCACCAUAAUUUCAUCAGAAUCAUCUAGCUGCUUCUUCACUCU
rnacentral:lncRNA from 1 species